rnacentral:tRNA from 1 species
ACGGUUGUAGCUCAACUGGCGAGAGCGCCGGAGUACCAAUCUAGAGGUCACGGGUUCGAAUCCCACCGGCCGUC